UACGUAGGGUGCAAGCGUUGUCCGGAAUUAUUGGGCGUAAAGAGCUCGUAGGCGGUUUGUUGCGUCGGCUGUGAAAUCCCGAGGCUCAACCUCGGGUCUGCAGUCGAUACGGGCAGACUAGAGGUAUGCAGGGGAGAACGGAAUUCCUGGUGUAGCGGUGAAAUGCGCAGAUAUCAGGAGGAACACCGGUGGCGAAGGCGGUUCUCUGGGCAUUACCUGACGCUGAGGAGCGAAAGUGUGGGGAGCGAACAGG
rnacentral:rRNA from 1 species